GGCCUACUGAUGACAGGGAGAGUGGAGACAGUGCAGUUGAAGAUGUACCAGUCAGUGAGGCAGCGAGGCAGCGAGAGGGAGAGCGAGGGGUCACCGAGGCAGAAAAAGAGAUUGAGGGCACAGACAGGGAUCCAACAGAGCCUUACCAGC